AUUGAACGCUGGCGGCAUGCCUUACACAUGCAAGUCGAACGGUAACGGGCCUUCGGGUGCCGCCGAGUGGCGAACGGGUGCGUAAUACAUCGGAACGUGCCCGAUCGUGGGGGAUAACGAGGCGAAAGCUUUGCUAAUACCGCAUACGAUCUACGGAUGAAAGCAGGGGACCGCAAGGCCUUGCGCGGACGGAGCGGCCGAUGGCAGAUUAGGUAGUUGGUGGGAUAAAAGCUUACCAAGCCGACGAUCUGUAGCUGGUCUGAGAGGAUGAUCAGCCACACUGGGACUGAGACACGGCCCAGACUCCUACGGGAGGCAGCAGUGGGGAAUUUUGGACAAUGGGCGCAAGCCUGAUCCAGCCAUGCCGCGUGCAGGAUGAAGGCCUUCGGGUUGUAAACUGCUUUUGUACGGAACGAAAAGCCUUCUUUUAAUACAGGAGGGUCAUGACGGUACCGUAAGAAUAAGCACCGGCUAACUACGUG
rnacentral:rRNA from 1 species